GGAGUCUUUCUUCAGGCCAGAUGAGGCCAGUGACGAUGCAUGCUCUUUGAGAUCCAGCAGAGACGUCUGAAACCAAACUUAGCGUUGAGACGCAACCUCAGAGCAUCCACCUGCAAAACAGUUGUGCGCAGCGGUCAGAGAAUCUGGUGGUGUGAUGGGUGAAGACUAACCACUGGUGGGCUCUACUACCUCUGUCUGGAGAAUAGCAGCACGUUGUUCUUUGGCAGUCAGGGACUCUUUGAGCACUUCAAUAUGCUGUUUGCUAUCAGAGAACUGGUUAGUCAGGGUUUCCAGCUUGGUCUGCAAGCCGAGGAGCUGGGUGUCCUUCCUGGAAAGAGCAUGCAGUACCUUGUUCUUCAUGAACUUGGUGUGGUUGCGGUAGACCUCCAUCUGCUUGGCCUCCUCCUGCCGUUCUUCACAGCUGAGCAUGCUACUGGAUCGAAGCAUCAUGACCUGGUCCUCCAGCUCCCUGAGACCCCGCUCUAGAGAACUGAUCUGAGACUCCUAAAACAUGCGUCAUAGACUCGAGUUCCUACACACCUCUCUCAAAGCCACUAGCUCUUUAUCACGCUGUUCUAGAAGGUUCUCCAGGUGGUGUGCGUGCAUCUCAGCAUCUGCGAGGCGUCGUGUGCGCUCAUGGUCCUCUUCACUGGCUUUAGCCGAGGGUCCCUUGCUGUGCAACAUCUCCAGGAGCUUUUUGACUGAGUCAUCACGAGCAGCUAGCGUCUGCCGCUGGGUCUCCAUGCGAACCUCCAUCUCCUCCAAGGAAUCAGGCUGUGCAGUGAGCCGCACGCAGCAGGACCAGGAUGGCCAUUUCAGGAUUGGCCAUUAGCGUCACCUCACCGCGGAGGUAGACUUUCCCUUCUCGUUUGAAGAUGAGCUGGAUCUUUAAUCACUCAAUUCUCAGUCACUCGUAUAAAUCUAUGAAAAUGCUUUGAUGCGAUACAAAUGUGUCUAUAAAUAGCUGGUCUUAACUAGUUUAAGCUGGUCAGUUCUACCUGACACAUGCAUUUCAGGGCAGCGUUUGGAAGGGAAAACUAUUGCACUGAUUACUGAAUACUGAGGAGUAUAUACAGUAUAAAGCUUGCUUUUUUAAAGAUAGCAUCCAUUUUAUGCGUGCUACGCUGUUGUCAUGUGUCGUGUUCAAAUCUCCAAAUUUUGUAUGUUUUUUUUUCCCUGUGAAUUUACAGAUAUUACACUAGCACAGUGUGCUCUGUAUAAUGCAUAUUUUGGCAAAUAUAGAGGGUAUUCAGUGCAUACUAAAACAUGCAUACUAUAUGUAUGUAUGCUACAGAAAUAGUAUAGUGAUAGUGUGUAUGUGUGUGCUGAGAUGUU